rnacentral:rRNA from 1 species
AGCGAACGCUGGCGGCGUACUUAACACAUGCAAGUCGAACAGGGAUCACCGGUGUAGCAAUACAUUGUUGGUCCUAGUGGCGCACGGGUGAGUAACACGUGGGUAACCUGCCCUUGAGUUCGGGAUACCCCCUCGAAAGGGGGGCUAAUACCGGAUACGUUCCUUGGGUCGACAGAUCUGAGGAGGAAAGGUGGCGCAAGCUGCCGCUCUUGGAGGGGCCCGCGGCCUAUCAGCUAGUUGGCGGGGUAACGGCCCACCAAGGCUAUGACGGGUAGCUGGUCUGAGAGGACGACCAGCCACACGGGGACUGAGACACGGCCCCGACUCCUACGGGAGGCAGCAGUGGGGAAUUUUCCGCAAUGGGCGAAAGCCUGACGGAGUGACGCCGCGUGUGGGACGAAGGCCUUCGGGUCGUAAACCACUGUCAGUGGGAAAGAAGGGUGUCGAUGCUAAUACCAUCGGCAUUUGACGGUACCUGCAGAGGAAGCCCCGGCCA